AGUGAACGCUGGCGGUAGGCCUAACACAUGCAAGUCGAACGGCAGCACAGUAAGAGCUUGCUCUUACGGGUGGCGAGUGGCGGACGGGUGAGGAAUACAUCGGAAUCUACUUUUUCGUGGGGGAUAACGUAGGGAAACUUACUCUAAUACCGCAUACGACCUACGGGUGAAAGCAGGGGAUCUUCGGACCUUGCGCGAUUGAAUGAGCCGAUGUCGGAUUAGCUAGUUGGCGGGGUAAAGGCCCACCAAGGCGACGAUCCGUAGCUGGUCUGAGAGGAUGAUCAGCCACACUGGAACUGAGACACGGUCCAGACUCCUACGGGAGGCAGCAGUGGGGAAUAUUGGACAAUGGGCGCAAGCCUGAUCCAGCCAUACCGCGUGGGUGAAGAAGGCCUUCGGGUUGUAAAGACCUUUUGUUGGGAAAGAAAAGCAGCAGGUUAAUACCCAGCUGUUCUGACGGUACCCAAAGAAUAAGCACCGGCUAACUUCGUG
rnacentral:rRNA from 1 species